rnacentral:misc_RNA from 1 species
ACUUUUCUUCAGGAAGAGAUUCAGGUCCAUCUUAAUUGUGCUUCUGUGAUCUGUGUAUCGUUUACAUCCACAGCUAUUUGGAGUGGGCUUUAUUUUUGUAUUGAGGUUUAAAAUGGUUGUUAAUACUUAACUGGAAAAAGAAAACAAAUAAGAAAGGAACCAGAUUACUUGAAGGCAUGUGCAGCUGAUAAGGAACCUUUAGUUAAUUUGUCCCACUAUUUUGUUCCCUAGAAAGUGGAAACAUCUCGAAAAUUUGCUGUCUCUGACUUACUUAGAUGACAUCAUUUAAUGAUUCUUUAUGUGAUAGUUUUAUUAGAAACAGUCUCUCAGUUGAAAAGUGCUAUUUUUAUCAUAUAUUUAUAAUAUUUUUUUCAUAGUUUAUUGCAUAAUUUUAUUUAACCCAUUUUUCUUGGGCAUGCUUUUGAUCUCUGUUUGCUCAUCUCUUCAAUUUGGAAUGAAUGUUAAUCCUGUAACCUUUUCAUGUCUCAGUUAGAGACCUACUUAAUACUUUCAUACAUGCAUCAUAUUCAUUUUAUCAAAGUUUUAUAGAACUUUUGACUGCAAAAUGUGUUCCAGUUAAUCCAAAUCUGGUGCUUUUUAGGUCAUAGAAUCUACCAUGCCAUACAGUAGUUUUGUUGGCCAAUUGGGGAGAAAAAAAAAUAUAUUCAAUUUUCAUUUAGCUGUUGUCAAAGUUGUUUUUCUAGUUAUAUUUAUUUGCUGAUACUUGCACUAUUGCAGCCGGAAUAUCCAGCUUUCACU